GAUGAACGCUGGCGGCGUGCCUAAUACAUGCAAGUCGAGCGAACAGAUAAGGAGCUUGCUCCUUUGACGUUAGCGGCGGACGGGUGAGUAACACGUGGGUAACCUACCUAUAAGACUGGGAUAACUUCGGGAAACCGGAGCUAAUACCGGAUAACAUUUGGAACCGCAUGGUUCUAAAGUGAAAGAUGGUUUUGCUAUCACUUAUAGAUGGACCCGCGCCGUAUUAGCUAGUUGGUAAGGUAACGGCUUACCAAGGCGACGAUACGUAGCCGACCUGAGAGGGUGAUCGGCAACACUGGAACUGAGACACGGUCCAGACUCCUACGGGAGGCAGCAGUAGGGAAUCUUCCGCAAUAGGCGAAAGCCUGACGGAGCAACGCCGCGUGAGUGAUGAAGGGUUUCGGCUCGUAAAACUCUGUUAUUAGGGAAGAACAAAUGUGUAAGUAACUGUGCACGUCUUGACGGUACCUAAUCAGAAAGCCACGGCUAACUACGUG
rnacentral:rRNA from 1 species